CAUUUUAAAUGGAGAAGCAAGAGGAAUAUUAAUAGAGAUAUUAGCAAGUUGUAUGAUAAAAAUUAAUAUAAACCCUACUUUUGAAGAAUUUCAAAUCGUGUCCAAAAAAUUAUGCGAAUUAUUUCCAACUGAGACUGAGGCUACAUACGUAUAUGAACCUUUUGCAAAUGGUCCAAAGCAAAAAAAUAUCGGGGGAAAAUUAGCUGAUAAAGUGAGAAAUAUUAAGUCUAUGUUGAGGAGACUUGGUGCACUUAAUCCAGCCAAUUAUCAUAAAUAUUCAAAUUCUACACAGAAUGAAAAUGAUGAAAA